rnacentral:rRNA from 1 species
UACGGGGGGAGCAAGCGUUGUUCGGAUUUACUGGGCGUAAAGGGCGCGUAGGUGGCCAACUUAGUCGGACGUGAAAUCCCUCGGCUUAACCGGGGAACUGCAUCCGAUACUGGAUGGCUUGAGUUCGGGAGAGGGAUGCGGAAUUCCAGGUGUAGCGGUGAAAUGCGUAGAUAUCUGGAGGAACACCGGUGGCGAAGGCGGCAUCCUGGACCGACACUGACGCUGAGGAGCGAAAGCCAGGGGAGCAAACGGG